rnacentral:rRNA from 1 species
GCAAGUCGAACGUGAAAGCCUUCGGGUGAGUAAAGUGGCGCACGGGUGAGUAAUACGUGGGUAAUCUACCUUAGAGCUCGGAAUAACCUGACGAAAGUUGGGCUAAUACCGGAUAGAGCGAGGAAGUCGUAAAGGCUUUUUCGGGAAAGAGAGGCCGUAAGGUCCCUCACUCUAAGAGGAGCCCACGUCCCAUUAGCUUGUUGGUGGGGUAAAAGCCUACCAAGGCUACGAUGGGUAGCUGGUUUAAGAGGAUGAUC